GACAGAGGUGCCGAGCGUUAGGCGGAAUCACUGGGCUUAAAGCGUGUGUAGGCGGAUCCGUAAGUACCUUGUGAAAUCCCACGGCUCAACCGUGGAACUGCUGGGUAUACUGCGGGUCUUGAGCCACCUAGGGGCGAGCGGAACAAGUGGUGGAGCGGUGAAAUGCGUAGAGAUUGGAAAGAACACCAAUGGCGAAAGCACUUUACUGGGCUAUCACUGACACUGAGAGACGAAAGCUAGGGUAGCAAAUGGG
rnacentral:rRNA from 1 species